rnacentral:lncRNA from 1 species
CCCAUCCCUUUAUGAAAAUCUCUGAAUACGCUACUGGACCACUGUUGCCUAUAUUUACCAUGGGUUGGCUAUUUAUGUAAAGAAGGACAAGUUAAAAUAGAUGGUAUACAUGUUCAUAUAAGAUUUUUCAAGCUACAAAUCCUUACAUUUCUACGGUAUAUGACAUGUGUUAUUGAAGUUAGUCGAAGAAGUUAUGUUAAGCCAAACAUAUCAAUAAGGGAUCUACCAUUUGAUUUUUAUAAGGGGGAUGAAAUUUGGC